rnacentral:rRNA from 1 species
GACGAACGCUGGCGGCGUGCUUAACACAUGCAAGUCGAACGAAGAGCGAUGGAAGCUUGCUUCUAUCAAUCUUAGUGGCGAACGGGUGAGUAACGCGUAAUCAACCUGCCCUUCAGAGGGGGACAACAGUUGGAAACGACUGCUAAUACCGCAUACGAUCUAAUCUCGGCAUCGAGGAUAGAUGAAAGGUGGCCUCUACAUGUAAGCUAUCACUGAAGGAGGGGAUUGCGUCUGAUUAGCUAGGUGGAGGGGUAACGGCCCACCAAGGCGAUGAUCAGUAGCCGGUCUGGGAGGAUGAACGGCCACAUUGGGACUGAGACACGGCCCAGACUCCUACGGGAGGCAGCAGUGGGGAAUCUUCCGCAAUGGACGAAAGUCUGACGGAGCAACGCCGCGUGUGUGAUGACGGCCUUCGGGUUGUAGAGCUCUGUUAAUCGGGACGAAAGGCCUUCUUGCGAAUAGUGAGAAGGAUUGACGGUACCGGAAUAGAAAGCCACGGCUAACUACGUGC